UUGCGACCAUAUCACGUUGAAACACCGGUUCCCGUACGGUCACCGAGUUAAGCAAAGUCGAGAUUGGUCAGUACCUAGAUGGGUGAUCGCUUGGGAAUGCCAGGUGCUGUAAG